rnacentral:lncRNA from 1 species
UGAGAGCACUGCUUACUCUUGAUGCUAAACAUAUGCUCUAAUGUUUAUAGAGUGGGCAUGACAGCUUGCAACAUUCAUCUUUACCAUUUAUUACCUCCUCUUAUUUUUAAUAAUCUAAUGUUCAAUAAUGGUUAAAAAUUACAGACUGUGUCUGAAAAAUUAAAGAAUUUGGUCGCUGAAUAGGGAAAAGAGCUACUGUCCAAAAGAAUACUGUAGUUAGUAGAAUCAAAGGCAGUUCAGAAAUGGAGAAUGGGUUACUUUACAAUAUAUUCUAGUUAUAUUACUAUUCUUCUUUCUUUUUUUGUAAUUCCCAUUAAUCCAUUGUAGCCAGGUCAGUAGUGGGCGCUGCUGAGGGUAUCAGUAUAGGGUGUAAGUUCCCUUUAAAUAUGUCACUUCCUGUUGGUUGGAAUGGCUGCAGUGUUUGAAUUGUUUGGCAUGGUUGGUCGCUGGAAGAACAAGCUCUGGUCACCGUAGCCACCAGAUCCAGUCUGUGUUCAGAUCAGAGGGUCACUGCAGUCACCCGGAUCCAGUACGUAUCCAGACCAGAUGGUGGAUCAGCACCUAGAAAGGACCUCUACAUCCCUGAAAGACAGCGGAGACCAGGACAACUAGAGCCCAGAUACAGAUCCCCUGUAAAGACCUUGUCUCAGAGGAGCACCAGGACAAGACCACAGGAAACAGAUGAUUCUUCUGCUCAAUCUGACUUUGCUGCAGCCUGGAAUUGAACUACUGGUUUCGUCUGGUCAGAGGAGAACUGACCCCAACUGAGCCUGGUUUCUCCCAAGGUUUUUUUCUCCAUUCUGUCACCGAUGGAGUUUCGGUUCCUUGCCGCUGUCGCCUCUGGCUUGCUUAGUUGGGGUCACUUUAUCUACAGCGAUAUCAUUGACUUGAUUGCAAAUAAAUGCACAGACACUAUUUAAACUGAACAGAGAUGACAUCACUGAAUUCAAUGAUGAACUGCCUUUAACUAUCAUUUUGCAUUAUUGACACACUGUUUUCCAAAUGAAUGUUGUUCAGUUGCUUUGACGCAAUGUAUUUUGUUUAAAGAGCUAUAUAAAUAAAGGUGAUUGACUGAUUGAUAAAGUGAUUACAUUUUUUCAGAAAUAUU